rnacentral:lncRNA from 14 species
GGCUAGGGAGCCGGUGGAGCAUGCGCAUUACUUCAUGCGGCACUUCUGCGCCCCCUAGAGGCGUCUGGCAUCCUGGGAAAGGCCCUUAUGGAGUUUCAGCUGACGGAACGCUGUGAGCGAGGUGCUGUGCUGGGUGG